rnacentral:lncRNA from 1 species
GUCUCCCCCUCCCCGCGGUUCGAUCCUGUCCGGUCCCUGCGCGAUGGCUCCGACCCUGAUGCUGGCGGCUCUGCUCUGCGCGCUGGGCCCCGCCGCCGGGAAGCUGUGGGACCAGGCUAGGGGGGCCUCAUACCCCGAUUACGAUGAGACUGGGGCAGAUGCCCCCCCCAGGACCCGGGCCCCGGCCCCACCCCAGCUGAGCCGUUACCGGACGGAUGGGGCCUACGAGAACCACCAGGACGAGCCGGGUGAUGAGGAGCCUGGGGAGAUGGAUGCAGAGAUGCUGAGGUACCUGGUGGGCCGGAUCCUCGCGGGGGGUGGUGAGAUGCGACCCCCCCGCCACCCCAGACGCCUGCGCCGGGGGCUGGAGGAAGAACCCCCCACCCUGCUGCGCGUGAAGCGGCUGGGGGGCGACGGGGAGGGCCCCGAGGCGGGAGCACCCCAGCUGCAGCGGGCCAAGAGGACGGAGGAAGAGGAGGAGGAGGCAGCUGUUGGGGGGCGGAGGGGGGCAUAUGGAGGGGAGCCCCUGCUGAGGUAUCUGCCUGAGUAAUGAGGACACCUCCCCCAGGGCCCAGUGAGUGCUAAUGCAGCGGGGGAGGGGCUUACGUCCCCCCUGCCCCGUCCAUCUCUGAAUGUAGCCAGCCUGUGGGCACGGAGGAGGGGCUGCCUUGCUCCUAGCCCCCCAGUCUCUGCCCCCCCAAUGACCCCUCCCUCUGCAGGCCGGCUUAUCUCUGGGCCCCAUGUCUCUCCCCCACAAGCCAACUGCCCCCCCCAUUAGGGUGACAGCUCGCCCCCGACAUGCUUCAAGACCCUUAUUCCCCACCCGGGCUCUGCCCCCCAGUGUCCCAGCUCUGAGCCCCUUAUUGUCCCCAGGGCUCUGGCCNNNNNNNNNNACCCUAGCUCUGCCCCCCACCCCCCUGGUUCCCCCUGCUUCCAUCAGUCCAUUCAGUAACGCCCUCCCCCCGUCUGUCCGUCUGGUGUUGAUUAAUUAACUAAUUAAAUAAAGGCUUGUCAGGUAUUUUGAUGUAAAGGCGG